rnacentral:lncRNA from 1 species
UCAUGGGCUUCUUUGAUCUCAUAGCCUGUGAGUUGCCUUCCUUCAUAUGCUGCCCGCAACGAUAUGAGGUUCAACCGGAUCAUAGUCGCUAAGUCACUCCUUGUCAAUGUUGGAUUCUCUACGUAAAGUUCACCCAACUUCACUUUUUGUUCUGGUGUAAGAACACUCUCAUCAAAUGGUGGCUCUAUAUAUGGCUCAUCCUCUUCUUCUUGUGGCCAAUCAUUGAAUUCCAUGGCCAACAACUCCUAAAUCACCAAAAAGAAAUAAAAAUUGUUAGUUAAAAAAAACUGCAAAGAAAAUGAUCUAGACUAAAAACUAAUCCUAAAUCUUUAGGUAACGCAAUUGCUCCCCGGCAGCGGCGCUAACUUGAUUACUCGAGUAUUUAACCCGAUAACUUAACCGAAGUAAAGUAUAUGCGGGAUCGAUCACAGGGAGCAAGGGUACACUAAAGACUUGCGAGACUCGUUCUUAGCUAAAGCGGAAAGACUUGUUGUUUGGUUUUCAGUUUGUAAAUAAAAAUGCAAAAAAUAAACUGAGAUUUAACUUAUAAAUUAAAUACAUUGGGCUGCAGAGUAUUUUCAGAGAAUCAAUGAAUAACAAAUAAAAGCUAUAAGGAUUUCUAUCAUGAAGAAUCGUUCUUGAACAUGAACAAAAUUUUAGACUAAUUCUCUCUCAAGACAUUAAUCACUAAAUUCAACUAUUCAAUUACUAACUCUCAUUUGUAAUUUCCUAGCCAAAUUCGCAUUAUCAAACAUGUUCAUUUGUUUAACAAAGCAUUCUAACAUCAACUCUCGUAGGUUAGAAGUACAAUGCUCAAUUUACAUUCAUUCAGGCAUUUUAUCGAAUAUCUCUAAAACACAUAAAAGCCUAAGUUCUAAAACAGGGUGAUCAAUCCAAUUCUAGUAUUGAGAACAUGUAAACUGAAGAACCUAAAGAUUAAGAAUUCCCUAAGACAUCUAAUCUAUCAAAUCAUUGAAUUCUCCUACUUGGAACCCUAAAACCCAAUUAAGAGACUACUCAAAUAUAGCAAAAGAGAAAACAAAAAUCAUAGAUGAAGAAAGCAUGAUGAAAUUUCAGAAACAAUAAGAAAGAGUUUAGAAAUCUUCUCCAAGUGUCAAGAGGAUGGAUUCUUCUCCCAAAAUUGUUUAGAAAGCAAAGAACAAUCUUUAGAACUCAAAAAUUUGAAGGAUGGCUGCUAAAAGGUCGAGCCUAUUUGGGUCGGUUCUGAAGUGUUUCGGAUUGAAUAUGGGCAAAACGAUGCGUCAGAAGUAAGGGUACGAUCGUUCCAAAUGUUAGACCGAUCGGUCUAAUGCUCCCAGGUUUUACUUCUGCAUCAGCUUUACCAACUCGUCAGAAUGACCUGUCUUCACGAAAUCAUGUGUAACUAUUGAAUGCACCGUUAGAUAUCCUUGAAAUUACUUUCAAAUGAUAGUUAACAUCUGUCUUCAUUUUGUGUCAAAAUAUGAGAAAGAUCUAACGGUGGAAAGUUAUUCAUCGGCUCCUAAACAUUUGACACUUCUACAUGAAUCUGCAUCUCCAAAUGUGUGUUUCCAUCCCAAAACAGCUCGUUUUAUUCCAAAGCAACCUAAAACAUGUAAAGACUCUAUAAUGCACUAAAAGAAUCCUAAAACACAUUUUGACUCAAUAAAAGUUUUAAAAUGAAAGAGAAAAGAAAGACUAAAACCGACAAAAACACAAUAUAUCAACUCCCCCCCUGCUUAGGUUCUUGCUUGUCCUCAAGCAAAACAAAAAUCUUAACCAGAAGAAGAGGUUUGAAAACAUGAAAACUCACAUAUCCUCUGGGAUCAUACUCUUAAUCAAUUGCCUGCAAACCGCUAUCACAAAGUUUAUAUCAAACCGUACAAUAAUGUACUUCAUCAUGACAUCAUGAGAUCCCUAAAUCACAAAGAACUAAGAAUCAAAUAACUUAACAUGUUAACAUUCAUUAGCAGUUUCGUGCACUCUCACAAAGGGGAUAUCGAACACGUUAUGGUCUAGGUNNNNNNNNNNNNNNNNNNNNNNNNNNNNNNNNNNNNNNNNNNNNNNNNNNNNNNNNNNNNNNNNNNNNNNNNNNNNNNNNNNNNNNNNNNNNNNNNNNNNGUUUAACGUUCAGCAGUAAUACGAACGGAUGGAAACAUUAUGCAAAAUCACAGUGAGACAAAGACCAAUUGGAAGAUACAUAACUUCCUUCUAACUCGGAUCACCUUAACCACAUCAAAUCCCAGACAAAUCAUAAGUAUUAUAGAUGCUUUUCAAAUACAACCAAAGACAUAUCGACUUUUCCGGUUCCAUUCUUUCUCAUUUCCCGUUCUUUUCUCUUUUUUUUUUAUUUUAUUUUUUAUUUAUUUUAUUUUUUUUUUACGGGGGAGUGGAACCGGUUCUCGUCUCACAAACUGCAUCAACAAAACUCAAUCAUGAUCGCUCACAGCACAUGCUCAUGAAUAUAACAAUAUAACCACAAGAACUCAAUGUCAAUCAUCCUAAACAACUACAAUUACAAUCCUAAUUAAAGGAAAGCUAUGUCGACCUGUAUACUCCGUAGUUUUUGCACAUGAAUGCACAUAAUGACAAUGACAUACGAAUGCAUGUUGUCUGAAGCAUGGAUAGGGCUAAAGGUGUGGUACUAGACUAAAGAUGAGUCUAGCCAUUCAGAUUUUACAAAGAGUGGUAAAACAACGCGGAUUAAACUCUGAAUGUAUGAUCCAUUACAUGAUUACCAACCCUCUAAGUAAGAUAUAAUAAGUCCAUAUUAAGUUCAAAUAAGCAAGGUUAAGCUCAAAUCAUCCAAAUUUCCAAGUGAGGGAUUAUACAAGUGAUCUAGUCAUGAAUUUUCCGGAAGUUCCAAGUUAUCCUUAAACAAUGCUUAAUGGUCCCAAGGCAAUGAAAUCAAGCAAGGUGCAAUUCCCUAUGAAAAGCUCAUAUUUCUCAUACAACAUUUUGACUCAAUACGACAGAUAUGAUUUGACUCAAUAAAACAAACUGACAGACUCAAGAAAACAUCAAAUUGAAACAUAAGAAAAAGCAAAUUGCAUCAGUAGACGAGUGACAUCAUCCCCCAGACUUGCUUCACACCGUCUCAGUGUGAGAACAAUUCCAAAAGAAAACUUCACAACCAAAAACAAAAAAUAAAUGAAGAUGCAAAAAAAGAAGAAUGAAAUUAAGAAAUCUGAGCUGGGACAUCUGGUGGGUUGCCUCCCACAAAACGCUUAUUUUUGGUCUUUAGCUUGACCGCUCAACACAAAUUAUUAAUCAUAAGAAUCAAAAGGUUGAGCCAAUGCACCUUUAGUCCUUCUCCUGUUACCCACACAACAAUAUGCAUAAAGUAACACACAACUAUCCAUGAUAAGGAGGCAAAAUAAUCAUCAACCAAAUUUACUACAAAUGUAGCAUAUAUCUUGAAAUCUACUUUGAUGGUUUGAUGCUCAUGAGGAUCAAAUGCAUUUGGUGGAAAUAUAAAAUCAAUUUCAGGUCUUAAUGAGGUUUUAACAAAAUAGUCAACUUCAUCCCCAUUAAUUUCAUAUAUUACAAUAUCUCCAUCCAUAUAAUGAACAUAAUGAUCCUCAGUCUUAUGCAAGAUGUUAUCAAUAUCUAGCACAACCCCUAACUCAGAUUCUUCAAGAAGAUAUCUAGAUAUUUCAGGCAUUGAAAACUUAAACUCGAGUUUAUGGAAAUUCAAAGCACAAUGAUAUUCAAUAUCAAAACAUAUCUCAUGGUAAUCUCUAGCAAGUUUUUCUGCUCUAAAAGUAUCUAGCUGUUGAGACUCACCUAUCAAAUAAUAACAUUCACUGAUAAUCUUGGGAGUAUGCAAACUAGAAGCAGCAUCUUCAAUGCAAGGCAUAGCAAAAUACUCAAAAUCAUGAAUUUCAAGGGUUGAAACGCAUGUACCUUCUAUGUUGCUCGGUGGAACCCAAUAUAUUACCUUUUCAAGAUCAUGGGCUUCUUUGAUCUCAUAGCCUGUGAGUUGCCUUCCUUCAUAUGCUGCCCGCAACGAUAUGAGGUUCAACCGGAUCAUAGUCGCUAAGUCACUCCUUGUCAAUGUUGGAUUCUCUACGUAAAGUUCAUCCAAUUUCACUUUUUGUUCCGGUGUAAGAACACUCUCAUCAAAUGGUGGCUCUAUAUAUGGCUCAUCCUCUUCUUCUUGUGGCCAAUCAUUGAAUUCCAUGGCCAACAACUCCUAAAUCACCAAAAAGAAAUAAAAAUUGUUAGUUAAAAAAAAACUGCAAAGAAAAUGAUCUAGACUAAAAACUAAUCAUAAAUCUUUAGGUAACG